rnacentral:rRNA from 1 species
AGUGAACGCUGGCGGUAGGCCUAACACAUGCAAGUCGAACGGCAGCACAGUAAGAGCUUGCUCUUACGGGUGGCGAGUGGCGGACAGGUGAGGAAUACAUCGGAAUCUACUUUUUCGUGGGGGAUAACGUAGGGAAACUUACGCUAAUACCGCAUACGACCUACGGGUGAAAGCAGGGGAUCUUCGGACCUUGCGCGAUUGAAUGAGCCGAUGUCGGAUUAGCUAGUUGGCGGGGUAAAGGCCCACCAAGGCGACGAUCCGUAGCCGGUCUGAGAGGAUGAUCAGCCACACUGGAACUGAGACACGGUCCAGACUCCUACGGGAGGCAGCAGUGGGGAAUAUUGGACAAUGGGCGCAAGCCUGAUCCAGCCAUACCGCGUGGGUGAAGAAGGCCUUCGGGUUGUAAAGCCCUUUUGUUGGGAAAGAAAAGCAGCAGGUUAAUACCCCGCUGUUCUGACGGUACCCAAAGAAUAAGCACCGGCUAACUUCGUG